AGAGUUUGAUCCUGGCUCAGGACGAACGCUGGCGGCGUGCUUAACACAUGCAAGUCGAACGGUGAACUCCGCUUGCGGGGGGAUCAGUGGCGAACGGGUGAGUAACACGUGGGCAACCUGCCCUCAGCUCUGGGAUAACUCCAAGAAAUUGGGGCUAAUACCGGAUAUGACUGCUGACCGCAUGGUCUGGUGGUGGAAAGUUUUUCGGUGGGGGAUGGGCCCGCGGCCUAUCAGCUUGUUGGUGGGGUGAUGGCCUACCAAGGCGACGACGGGUAGCCAGCCUGAGAGGGCGACCGGCCACACUGGGACUGAGACACGGCCCAGACUCCUACGGGAGGCAGCAGUGGGGAAUAUUGCGCAAUGGGCGGAAGCCUGACGCAGCGACGCCGCGUGGGGGAUGACGGCCUUCGGGUUGUAAACCUCUUUCGGCCCCGACGAAGCGUGAGUGACGGUAGGGGUAGAAGAAGCACCGGCCAACUACGUGCCAGCAGCCGCGGUAAUACGUAGGGUGCGAGCGUUGUCCGGAAUUAUUGGGCGUAAAGAGCUCGUAGGCGGUCUGUCGCGUCGGUCGUGAAAACUUGGGGCUUAACCCUGAGCUUGCGGUCGAUACGGGCAUGACUGGAGUUCGGCAGGGGAGACUGGAAUUCCUGGUGUAGCGGUGAAAUGCGCAGAUAUCAGGAGGAACACCGGUGGCGAAGGCGGGUCUCUGGGCCGAUACUGACGCUGAGGAGCGAAAGCGUGGGGAGCGAACAGGAUUAGAUACCCUAGUAGUCC
rnacentral:rRNA from 1 species